GCCCUGGUGCUGGAAUUGGUAUACAGGCACGCUUCAGGAGCGUGUGCCGUAACAGGCAUGGGAGUUCAAAUCUCCCCCAGGGCA
rnacentral:tRNA from 1 species